UGGGCAACCUGCCCUUGACACUGGAAUAACAGUUGGAAACAGCUGCUAAUACCGGAUACGACCUUCGAUGGCAUCAUCUGGAGGUGGAAAGCUCCGGCGGUCAAGGAUGGGCUCGCGGCCUAUCAGCUUGUUGGUGAGGUAACGGCUCACCAAGGCUUCGACGGGUAGCCGGCCUGAGAGGGCGACCGGCCACACUGGGACUGAGACACGGCCCAGACCUCCGUACGGGAGCA
rnacentral:rRNA from 1 species